rnacentral:rRNA from 1 species
AUUGAACGCUGGCGUCAUGCUUUACACAUGCAAGUCGAACGGUAACAGGGUGCUUGCACCGCUGACGAGUGGCGAACGGGUGAGUAAUGCGUCGGAACGUGCCGAGUAGUGGGGGAUAACGCAGCGAAAGUUGUGCUAAUACCGCAUACGUAUUGAGGUAGAAAGUGGGGGACCUUCGGGCCUCACGCUAUUCGAGCGGCCGACGUCUGAUUAGCUAGUAGGUGAGGUAAAGGCUCACCUAGGCGACGAUCAGUAGCGGGUCUGAGAGGAUGAUCCGGCACACUGGGACUGAGACACGGCCCAGACUCCUACGGGAGGCAGCAGUGGGGAAUUUUGGACAAUGGGCGAAAGCCUGAUCCAGCCAUGCCGCGUGUCUGAAGAAGGCCUUCGGGUUGUAAAGGACUUUUGUCGGGGAGGAAAUCCCCAGCGCUAAUACCGCUGGGGGAUGACAGUACCUGAAGAAUAAGCACCGGCUAACUACGUGCCAGCCGCCGCGGUAAGAC